AUUGAACGCUGGCGGCAUGCCUUACACAUGCAAGUCGAACGCGAAAGAGGGGCAACCCUUGAGUAGAGUGGCGAACGGGUGAGUAACGCAUCGGAACGUAUCCAGUAGUGGGGGAUAACCCAUCGAAAGAUGGGCUAAUACCGCAUACGCCCCGAGGGGGAAAGUGGGGGAUCCGCAAGGACCUCACGUUAUUGGAGCGGCCGAUGUCCGAUUAGCUAGUUGGCGGGGUAAGAGCCCACCAAGGCGACGAUCGGUAGCUGGUCUGAGAGGAUGAUCAGCCACACUGGGACUGAGACACGGCCCAGACUCCUACGGGAGGCAGCAGUGGGGAAUUUUGGACAAUGGGGGCAACCCUGAUCCAGCCAUGCCUCGUGAGUGAAGAAGGCCUUCGGGUUGUAAAGCUCUUUCGGCCGAAACGAAAUCGCAUCUCUUAACACGGGGUGUGGAUGACGGUACCGGAAGAAGAAGCACCGGCUAACUACGUGCCAGCCGCCGCCGUAAAAC
rnacentral:rRNA from 1 species